rnacentral:rRNA from 1 species
UUAGUGGCGGACGGGUGAGUAACGCGUGGAAAACCUGCCGUAUACUGGGGGAUAACACUUAGAAAUAGGUGCUAAUACCGCAUAAGCGCACAGCUUCGCAUGAAGCGGUGUGAAAAACUCUGGUGGUAUACGAUGGUUCCGCGUCUGAUUAGCUAGUUGGUGGGGUAAUGGCCACCAAGGCAACGAUCAGUAGCCGGCCUGAGAGGGUGAACGGCCACAUUGGGACUGAGACACGGCCCAAACUCCUACGGAAGGCAGCAG